rnacentral:guide_RNA from 1 species
AUAACGAGAACUUAUAUGCAGUGAUU